AGGCCAGUAGCUCAAUUUGGUAGAGCACUCGUCUCCAAAACGAGCGGUUGUGGGUUCGAGUCCUGCCUGGCCUG
rnacentral:tRNA from 1 species